GCAAAUUCCGAAUUUACAGUAUUCUUCUACAACAAAUGAACUGAAAAUUUCAUUUUCAUUUUGAUCACAUCUGACUAGAAAAGCACCCUCUUCUACAUCAGAACACCGUUAUCCAUUUGCUGGAUUCUACCUAAUUUUCAAGGUCUCCUUUCUGAGACAUGAUGCGUUGGGGCUAGACAUUGAGAGAGUUGGAGUGGGAGCAGGGGCCACCAAGGAAGGAGAGACUGGGGAGUACUGAGUGACAGUGAAACCUGAGGGUGUUGGUGAUGUUGGGGUGGAGUUCCAAACGGCAGAGGAGCCACUGAGAGAUGCUGGUGAUGUAUCUGAACCUGGAACCUUUUCUUGAGCCGCAUGCAUGUUAACUUUUAUCCUGCAUAUACAAGAGCCACCAGGUUAGUGGGUUCAUGAGAGACGUUCCUGCAGGAUUCAAUUGCUUUUUUAAGGUUCUGUCAUCCUGCUUGGCAAUAGGAUGGAUGAAACCUUGCCAUGUCAUGCUUGCAAGAAAGACUCAAACUAAACUUGUAACAGAAGAAAGCUCCUCGGUGAAUCAGCACCAGCAGGCUACACAUAUAACAAUAUACUGCAGUAGAGCCAGAUGGAGAUGGAGAUUGGGGAAUAAUACUUUACCGGUUGUAGAUAUUGAUGUACUCGUUGGUUUCAUCAAGUAUCUCCACCUGAAAUAUAAGCAAACCUUUCAAUGCAGUUAUAGUCAAUUAUUCCAACA